rnacentral:rRNA from 1 species
GAAAUGACUCUCGGCAACGGAUAUCUCGGCUCUUGCAUCGAUGAAGAACGUAGCGAAAUGCGAUACUUGGUGUGAAUUGCAGAAUCCCGUGAACCAUCGAGUCUUUGAACGCAAGUUGCGCCCAAAGCCAUUAGGCUGAGGGCACGCCUGCCUGGGUGUCACAC